rnacentral:piRNA from 1 species
UGAUACAGUAAAUUCUUCGGGAACCAUACA